CUGGCAGUUUUCCUGAGUACAUGGGAGUUAGGGCAGAGAACACGAUGUGGUGCUGGUAGUCAACGCAAGCUGGCACGGCCUCAGCCAGAAGACUGGAGCUAGGAGCAAGCAAAGCACCAAGUAAAUGAAUCAAAUUAAAAAACAACUACAAUAACAACAAAGGAGGAAACUAGAGAACAUCUUGGGAACUAUCCACUUUUGGAACUUAUCCCAUGCUGGAACAUUGCCCUGAGACAGACAUCCAUGAAGAAGCCCGGGAUGAAAGACCACGUGGAGAGAAAGGCCCACCAUCAUUCUGCACCAACUACCAACGGCGUAAGGGAGGUCGACUUGGAUUUCCCACCCCAGUUGACUCUCCAGCUGAGAGCAACUGCCUGAGCCCAAACAAAACCUGCUGAGGAACCUCCCUGCUAGCAAAUAGAAUCAGGAGAAAUAAUAAAUAGUUCUGUUGUUUUAAGUCACCAACUCA
rnacentral:lncRNA from 1 species